GUUUUGUAUAAAGUUAGUUUACAAUGUGGCGUGGACACACACACUGGAUUUCUGAGGUAGGACUCAAUUUAUUCUUUUAUUUUAAUCAUUAUUCGUUCUAAAGUGUUCAGUUUUCUGCAACAACGCAAAUAUAGAAUAAUUAUUUAAAUUGUAAUUGUAAUUUUUGACAUUGCUAUUUUGUAAAUGUCACAAGUUAAUUAAUGUUCAUUAUAAUGAAAGUUUAACACGGUUAUAUGUUUUCGGUUGUAGUAAAUAUUCGAGUGUCGAAAUCGUUUGGUAUUUUAGGAACGUUUGUGUACGAUAAUGCAAUGAUGUAUGUAUCUCCAUAAGUAUGUAAAGUAAUAUGCAACGUAUAAGCAUAAAUGUAUAUUCAGCGUUAAAAGCUGUAUAUUGUGUGUAGUAAUUGUAUAAUGAUAGUAUACAAUAAAGUCAAUUAUGUGACUUGUAAAGUAAGGCAUUAUACGAUAUGCCGUAGCUUGUAUUGUGUAAAGUAAGGCAUUAUACGAUAUGCCGUAAUUAUUUGAGUAUAAGUAAUGCAUUAUUCAAUAUGCUGUAAUCUUCUAUAGAUUGAACAUAAGUAGUCGUACUAAGUAUUUGUCAUUAUUUAUGCGACAUGUGUAAUACAUAAACAUAAUUAUGUAUAUUUCUUGAGUAUAGUAUUGUAUUUUAACGUACAGUAUGUAUUUCAAUAGGUCCCAGUUUCGGGCUAGAUGUAUGUAGUUUUGAUUAGUAAAGUAUGGAGAUAUAUUACAAAUGGUGGUAGAACCUGUUGAACGUGCGACGUUCCAUGUUUUUCAUCAAUAGUUUGGCAACCUACAAUAUUUGGAGUCGAGUCUAGACAAUAGGGCAGCCGUAAUGUGUACACCGCUUAUGUUGGGCCAGUUUUGUGUAGUUACCAAAAACCAAAUACGUAAAAUUCCGUAAGAUCGUUACUCAGAUUUCAAAGCUAAAUAUAAAGAAGGA
rnacentral:lncRNA from 1 species